rnacentral:rRNA from 1 species
CCUACGGGGGGCUGCAGUGGGGAAUAUUGCACAAUGGGCGAAAGCCUGAUGCAGCAACGCCGCGUGAGCGAUGAAGGCCUUCGGGUCGUAAAGCUCUGUCCUCAAGGAAGAUAAUGACGUUACUUGAUCAGGAAGCCCCGGCUAACUACGUGCCAGCAGCCGCGGUAAUACGUAGUGGGCUAGGGUUAGCCGAAAUUACUGGGCGUAAAGGUGGCGUAGGUGGUUUCUUAAGUCAGCGGUGAAAGGCUACGGCUAAACCGUAGUAAGCCUUUGAAACUGGGGAACUUGAGUGCAGGAGAGGAGAGUGGAAUUCCGAGUGUAGCGGUGAAAUGCGUAGAUAUUAGGAGGAACACCAGUUGCGAAGGCGGCUAUCUGGACUGUAACUGACACUGAGGCACGAAAGCGUGGGGAGCAAACAGGAUUAGAUACCCGAGUAGUC